UUUGUUUAUGUAAUUUAUACGUGUUUCUCGUUUCUCGUUUUUGUCGAGCCUGCAACUUUUGUUGCAGAAAGCUCGACAUAGGGAUAGUGAUCCGGCGGCGGUGUUAGCUAACUUCUUAAAAGCUUUAUAUUUUAGAAGGUGGAAGACCUGGAUGCUUCAUACUUUGUAUAUAGAUGCCUCAUGUUACGAAGUUUCCGUCAGUCACAUGUCCAAUGUCCUUGACCUCAUUUUCAUGGUUCAGUGACCACUUGAAAAAAGUUCAGAUUUUUUGUAAUGUUGAAUUCUCUCUUAUUAUAAGUAAUAGGAUAACAAUAUUUG
rnacentral:lncRNA from 1 species